rnacentral:rRNA from 1 species
GACAGAGUGUGCAAACGUUGUUCGGAAUUACUGGGCGUAAAGCGCGUGUAGGUGGCGAGGCAAGUCGGGUGUGAAAGCCCUGGGCUCAACCUAGGAAGUGCACUCGAUACUGCCUAGCUAGAGUCCCGGAGAGGUUGGUGGAACUCUCGGUGUAGAGGUGAAAUUCGUAGAUAUCGAGAAGAACACCGGUGGCGAAGGCGGCCAACUGGACGGUGACUGACACUGAGACGCGAAAGCGUGGGGAGCAAACAGG